ensembl:lncRNA
GUAAGACCAGUGGCAACUCAUUUGGAAUAAUAGAGAAGAGGAAGUGCCCAAGUCAACUGCCCUGAGGGACACCGCACUGUACAUAUCUGAUGUUAGAGAAGCUUCCAUUGAAGAACACUCUCUGGGUCCUAUUGGAUAAAUAACAUUCCAACCCAAUGGAAUGUAAUUUAUCCAACAUUCUAACCCAUUCCAAUGGCAGGUGAUGUAAAACCAUAGCAAGUGAGUUUCUUCAAUAAACAUCAAAGGCCUCAAUGAAAUCUAACAUUUCAGCUCCGACUAUUAUCUUACUAUCCGUUUCUUUUAACCAAUCAUCAGUCAUCUGAGUCAGUGCCGUACAAGUUGAGUGCCCCAUGUUGAAAGUCAGGAGUUAACUUGUUCUCUGAAAAAUGGCAUUGUAUUUGGUCAAACACAAUUGUCUCCAUCAGUUUAAUAAGAACAGGCAGCAAACUGAUUGGUCGGCUGUUAGAGCCAGCAAAGGGUGCUUUACUAUUUUUAGGCAGUGGAUUUGGUUUAACUUCCUUCCACGCCUGUGGACACACCCACUCCUUUAGGCUUUGGUUAAAGACAGAGCAAAUAGGGGUGGCGAUACAGUCUGCUGCCAUUCUAUAUAGUUCCCCAUCAUGGUUGUCUAUACCUAUAGGCUUAUCAUUAUUGAUAGAUAACAAUGGUUUUUCCACCUCUCCAACACUAACUUGACCAAAUUGAAAACAGCAAAAUCCUUUUUCAUUAUUAGAUAUUUUAUAUAAACAUAUGAUGGUUCACUUGUUCAAUGUUUUAAUUUCACCUCUGAGUUUUUCCACUUUACUAGUUAAAUAGUCAUUGAAAUGAUUGGUUAAUAUCAAAAGGUUUUGUUAUAAAUUAUCCAUAAACUUCAAUGAACGAUGGAAAUGAAUUGGGUUUUCUGCCCAUGAUAUAAUUUAAGGUUCUCCAAAGCCUUUUCCAUUGUGUUUUAUGUCAUUUAUCUUGGUUUGGAAAUAUAAUUUUUAUUUAUUGAUUUUUGUUAAGUUUAGUCACAAAAUGUCUCAAGUUACAGAAUGUCAACCAAUCAGCUGAGCAGCCUGACUUGUGAUGUCACCUCUUUUUCAUUGUGUCUUUGAACCAUACGAUUCUUAAAUUCAUCAUCGAUCCAGGGGCCCUAACAGUUCUUCCAGUUAUAUACUAAACAGGUGCUGGGCAACAACUGGCAGGAAUAUUUCUACAAAUACUUCCAGUACUACAUCUGGAUUCUCUUCCUCAUACACACCUGGAUAACCUUCCUCAUACACAUCUGGAUUCCCUUCCUCAUACACAACUGGAUUCCCUUCCUCAUACACAUCUGGAUUCCCUUCCUCAUACACACCUGUAUUCUCUUCCUCAUACACAUCUGGAUUCCCUUCCUCAUACACACCUGGAUUCCCUUCCUCAUACACACCUGGAUUCCCUUCCUCAUACACACCUGGAUUCCCUUCCUCAUACACACCUGGAUUCCCUUCCUCAUACACACCUGGAUUCCCUUCCUCAUACACACCUGGAUUCUCUUCCUCAUACACAUCUGGAUUCCCUUCCUCAUACACAUCUGGAUUCCCUUCCUCAUACACAUCUGGAUUCCCUUCCUCAUACACACCUGGAUUCCCUUCCUCAUACACAUCAGACCAACAUACAUUUUAUACAUCGUCAACAGAAGAGUCCUAGAAAACAUUUUUUUAAUGAUCUCUUCAAAUUGCCAAAAGGCCCAACCUUUGGCAUUUUGGCUUUCCUCAUUAUUGACACAAUGGCACUGUCACUACAACCAACCAAUGUUUGAGUCAACAAAAGCAGUUUACUUACUAAAGUGGGCAAAAGCUGAAACACAUCUGACAACCACACAGGCUAGGAGCAACAUACAGCACACCAUUUGGGAUUCAAUCCAAAUCUCAGGCUUUGUAGUGAAGCACAAAUUGGACGAUGACAGUAAUAACAACAAGGAAAUCCACGUUGACUUGGACAAAUUUUUUGACAUUAUUUUUUUCCUCACUGCACUUCAUCUCUAAGACGGGACAGGCCUGGUCCACUGUCACUGUGCAAAUAAACUCAGGGCGUGGGAGAGGGCAAAACCAAGAAGACUCAAAGAUUUACCCAGAAAUAGAGUUAUCCAUAGAGAUUGGGAUUGGAAAUUUGGAGCUGAAAUGGAGGAUAGUUUCCAGAACUCUGUUAUGUAUAUCUACGGCUUGCCCUGAUAUAAAUGAAUCAGAUCAGACUCUUACAUUUUAAACACAAGACAUGCUUUCUCUUUCUUUCUCCAUUAACUGACGACAUAAUUCUUAAAACGAAGACAGAACUAAACACAGAUAGCAAUGGAAUCCAUAACCAGGAAGAGACAGACAGAACUAAACACAGAUAGCAAUGGAAUCCAUAACCAGGAAGAGACAGACAGAACUAGAAUCCAUAACCAGGAAGAGACAGACAGA